rnacentral:rRNA from 1 species
UACAGAGGGGGCAAGCGUUGUUCGGAAUUACUGGGCGUAAAGGGCGCGUAGGUGGCCUUCUAAGUUGAACGUGAAAUCCCUGGGCUCAACCCUGGAAAGCCGGCCGAUACUGUCGGACUAGAGUCCGGAAGAGGCAAGUGGAAUUCCCGGUGUAGCGGUGAAAUGCGCAGAUAUCGGGAGGAACACCAAUUGCGAAGGCAGCUUGCUGGGACGGUACUGACGCUGAGGCGCGAAAGCGUGGGGAGCAAACAGG